ensembl:lncRNA
AGUGGCUGCAGUUGUGGUGGCAGAAGCUGUUGUAGUGUGGGCUGCAGUUGUGGUUGCAGGGGAUGUUGUAGUGGCAACUGCUGUUGUAGUACCAGCUGCAGUUGUGGUGGCAUUGGCUGUUGUAGUGUGGGCUGCAGUUGUGGUUACAGGGGAAGUUGUAGUGGCAACUGCUGUUGAGGUACCAGCUGCAGUUGUGGUGGCAUUGGCUGUUGUAGUGUGGGCUGCAGUUGUGGUUACAGGGGAUGUUGUAGUGGCAACUGCUGUUGAGGUACCAGCUGCAGUUGUGGUGGCAUUGGCUGUUGUAGUGUGGGCUGCAGUUGUGGUGACAGGUGAAGUUGUAGUAGCAGCUGCAGUUGUAGUGGCAGCCUCUGUCGUAGGAGCCACUGCAGUUGAGAUGGCAGAAGCUGUUGUAGUGUGGGCUGCAGUUGUGGUUAUAGGGGAAGUUGUAGUGGCAACUGCUGUUGUAGUACCAGUUGCAGUUGUGGUGGCAUUGCCUGUUGUAGUGUGGGCUGCAGUUGUGGUGACAGGGGAAGUUGUAGUAGCAGCCGCAGUUACCA